rnacentral:lncRNA from 1 species
AUGAAUGCUUGUUGUAAGAAAUGGUUCUAUAAAGGAUAUACCAAAUUUAGAUUUAGAGUGAAACAAACCAACAAACCAUGUAUACAUCUAUGUCACAAAAUCCUUUGCAAAUACUUGCUGAUGUUUAUGUUGUUGUUAACCUACCAAAAUAAUCUCGCUUCCUGGAGGAUGAUGUCAUUAAGGAACUGGGGCAGGUUGCAACCACUGAUUAAUAUAGCUAUAGGAUUAGUUCACUUUCAGAUUAAAAUUUCCUGAUAAUUUACUCACCCCCAUGUCAUCCAAGAUGUUUGCGUCUUUUUGCUUCUUCAGUCGAAAAGAAAUGGAGGUUUUUGAUGAAAACAUUCCAGGAUUAUUCUCCUUAUAGUGGACUUAAAGGGAUACUCCAUCCCAAAAUGAAAAUGUUGUCAUUAUUCACUUACCCCCAUGUCGUUCCAAACCGUACAAAAAGUAUUCUCAUUGCUUCAUAAUGUUAUGGUUGAAUCACUGAUGGCAGAUGGAUUAUUCUGACGAUGCUUUUCAUACUUUUCUGGACCUUGACACUGUUAUUUAUUUGGCAGUCUAUGGGACAGUCACAAGCCUCCCUGUUUUCAUCCAAAAUAUUUUAAAUUGUGUUCCGAAGACAAACGAAGCUUCGUGGAGUAACCCUUUGAACUGCUACUAAAAGGUUGAAGGUCAAAAUUACAGUUUCAAUGCAGCUUCAAAGGGCUCUACACAAUACCAGUCUUAUCUAGCAAAAUGAUCUGUCAUUUUCUAAAAAAAAUUUUUAAAAAAUGUAUAUGCUUUCUAAACAGAAAUGCUUGCUCUGCAUUGCUCUGCAAUGCGUGUCCACGACUUCACAUAAUACGCAAUCGCGCUGAAAAGGUCACGCGUGACGUAGACAGAAGUACCAACUCAGUGUUUACAAGUCGAACGUGCAAAGACUAAGUCUUGUUGUUUACAAAAAAUCUGUGUUGUGUUCUCACACAGUGUUUUUUAUAAUGCAUUGAGUUAGAGUUCAGUAAUGCAUCGAGUUUGAGCUGAAAGCAUUCUGUCAUGCCUGACCAAAGUAUAUGUUCGUUUACUGGGAUCUGACUGGAACAGAGAGGUCAAGUAAUAAGAUACGGUAAGAUGAUGUUACUCGCUGCGUCAGUGUGAUCCUUAUCAAACGGAACAUUUGGCGACAAGGAUGGCUGAUAUCGCACUACCACCUUCUGCUCCUUUCCUUGAUCUACCCGGCGAGCCUCCGAUUCCCUGGACUCGCUGGUUACAGUCCUUUGAGACUUUCAUCUUGGCAGUGGGGCUGACUGAUGUGAGCACAGGCCACAAAAAAGCGAUGUAACUGCACUGCUUGGGAGUCUCCUUUUUGUGCAUGAUGCUGAUGCUGUGCGUGCAUUCAGGGUACAGCUAACCACAGCCC